rnacentral:rRNA from 1 species
UACAGAGGUCCCGAGCGUUGUUCGGAUUCAUUGGGCGUAAAGGGUGCGUAGGUGGCGCCGUAAGUGGGGUGUGAAAUCCCGGGGCUUAACCCCGGGACUGCAUUCCAUGCUGCGGUGCUUGAGGACUGGAGAGGAGACUGGAAUUUACGGUGUAGCAGUGAAAUGCGUAGAGAUCGUAAGGAAGACCAGUGGCGAAGGCGGGUCUCUGGACAGUUCCUGACACUGAGGCACGAAGGCCAGGGGAGCAAACGGG